AGUGAACGCUGGCGGCGUGCCUAAUACAUGCAAGUCGAACGAAGUGGCGCACGGGUGGGUAAUAUAUAGUUAAUCUGCCCUACACAGAGGAACAACAGUUGGAAACGACUGCUAAUACCUCAUAGUGUAGGAUGAGGCUAUAUCGUAUCAGCUAGUUGGUAAGGUAAUGGCUUACCAAGGCUAUGACGCGUAACUGGUAUGAGAGGAUGAUCAGUCACAUUGGAAGUGAGACACAGUCCGAACUCCUCCGGGAGGGAGCAGUGAGGAAUAGUGCGCAACGGGGGGAGCCCUGACGCAGCUACGGCGCGUGGGGGAUGACACUUUUCGCAGAGUAAACUCCUUUUAUCAGGAAAGCGGUACCUGAUGAAUAAGCACCGGCUAACUCCGUGCCAGCAGCCGCGGUAAUAC
rnacentral:rRNA from 1 species